rnacentral:rRNA from 1 species
CCCAGUAGCGGCGAGCGAACGGGGAGCAGCCCGGAGUCUGAAUCAGCUUGUGUGUUAGUGGAACGGUCUGGAAAGUCCGACGGUACAGGGUGAUAGUCCCGUACACGAAAAUGCACAGGUUGUGAACUCGAAGAGUAGGGCGGGACACGUGGUAUCCUGUCUGAAUAUGGGGGGACCAUCCUCCAAGGCUAAAUACUCCUGACUGACCGAUAGUGAACCAGUACCGUGAGG